GAGAGAGGCCUGCCGGCAACGAAAACUGCUAAUUUUCGCGACCUUGGUUGAAAUCCAGGGCUCACUCG
rnacentral:tRNA from 1 species